rnacentral:rRNA from 1 species
UUAGGAAUUUUGCGCAAUGGGCGAAAGCCUGACGCAGCAACGCCGCGUGAGGGAAGACGGCUUUCGGGUUGUAAACCUCUUUUAGCAGGGACGAACACAAUGACGGGACCUGCAGAAAAAGCACCGGCUAACUACGUGCCAGCAGCAGCGGUAAUACGUAGGGGGCAAGCGUUAUUCGGAUUUAUUGGGCGUAAAGCGCAUGUAGGCGGUUCGGUAAGUCUGGUGUGAAAGCCCUCGACUCAAUCGAGGAAGUGCAUUGGAUACUGUUGAACUGGAGUACAGGAGGGGUGAGCGGAAUUCCAGGUGUAGAGGUGAAAUUCGUAGAUAUCUGGAGGAACAACAGCGGCGAAGGCGGCUCACUGGACUGUAACUGACGCUCAGAUGCGAUAGUGUGGGGAGCAAACAG